AAGAGUAUCGUUGUUUAACAAAAACCAUUCAAACAAAAACAUACAUUCAAAAGAGAGAGUAGAAUUUAGGAACCUUAACUACGACGACGAUAAUUAACAAAUUAAGCAAUUGAAACGUGUAACGUGCGAUAAUUUAAGAACAUCUUGCAUACGAUUGAUGAAAACCAUACUAUCAAACGAAGUGGCAGUACAAUACAGUUGGUAUGGAGCGAAAAAGAAACAAGUGUUUUCACAACUAGAGAUAUGCAAAGUAAUUAUGAGUGUGAUCCGAAAGUUACAUACAAACGUAACAGAUGAAGAAAUCGCAUCUCCCAUUAAAAUAUGGUUAGCUCACGCAAAAGAACGGAUGGGGAAAGAAAAACCACAAGUAACUCAACAACAAGAAGAAGAAGAUAUUCAUUAAUAUAUUUUAUUUUUAUUUUUAGUAUUUUUUGGUUUUUGCGAAAUAUUUU